GAAGCUGGAAUCGCUAGUAAUCGCGGAUCAGAAUGCCGCGGUGAAUACGUUCCCGGGUCUUGUACACACCGCCCGUCCACACCAUGGGAGCCGGAAACGCCCGAAGCCAGCGGCCCAACCGCGAGGAGGGAGCUGUCGAAGGCGGGUCCGGUGACCGGGGUGAAGUCGUAACAAGGUACC
rnacentral:rRNA from 1 species